rnacentral:lncRNA from 1 species
UACCCAUGCCCCUCACCCAUCUCAGCAGUAUCGUCGGCUAUAUGUUAUCACCGACGGUGAGGUCAACGAUCCACACAGUCUCUCUCUUUCUCUCCAUUUUUCCCCUCUUUCUUUCUUUCUCUCUCUCGCCUUCCCAUCUUCACCGUGUCAUCCUUCAUCGUCUGCUACACCAACCACCAUCAACCAAGCCCCAUUUCCACCAUCCCACUAUGGCGACCCUUAUUGCCAUCAUUCUUGUUGCCCAUCAUUGACAGCCACUUAUCACCACCCAUAUUAGCUUCACCACACCUCCUUUCCAUUCGCCACCUAUGGUCGUCAUUCUCAUGUUCGCACGACUACCAUCAUUACUCAUCAUCCCUCUUCCUUUCACAGGCUUCCACCACCGCACCUCAACACACUGCCACCAACUAUGUAUUUUCUUGUGGAGAAGCAACAAGAAAAAAGAACUAAUAAAGUGAGAGCUUUGAAUAUCCUAUUCUUUGAAUUUGUUCUUUUAGUUUGUUAUUUUCUAAGAUUUCACAAUAUUCAUGUAUUGGUGAAUUUUACUCUAUUAUCUUCUGUAUUAUCUUUCACUUUAUCUUUCCCCUUUUUACUCUCUUUGAUUGUAGAAAAACUAAGGAAGAUAACUGUAUAAAAAAAAUUAAUAAUAAAUAAAAAAUCUUGGAAUAUCCCAUUUUAGAAUUUUUUUUCCCCGCUCUUUUCUAACAUUUUAUCGUAAGCUAGCAAAAUGUUUAUUUGGUUCACAAUCUUGAAACUUGAAAUUAAUAUUCAAUUUCAUUUUUAUGUUUCAAAUUAAGUUUAUAGGCAUCAAUGGUUACUGCAAUUAUGUGUCUCAUUUUUGUUGUGCCAAAAAUAAUGUGAUAUCUAAUGAGUUCUUUUUUAAACUUUUGUUUUCAUUUUUUGCUAGUAAAGGCUAAUGUUUCAUUUUCUUUAUAUUGAUUUCUAUGUUGAUCUAUAAUAUUUGGAUGUGUUAAUUGAAAUAAUUAUGAGUAGAUUGCCUUUAACUUUUAUCUCUACUAUUUCCUUUACAAGUGUACAGGGAUACCAUUAGAUUUUUAAUUCAAUUUGAAGAAACAAAACUAUAUAUUUGGGCACACAAAAACAAUUUGCAUAAUGUGAUAUGGUUUUCUCUUUAAUAUGGUUAAUUAUUUAAUUUUAUUUAUUUAUGCACUUGAAUUUUUUACUUGGGUUCCUUUGGUUUGGUUCUUUCCCUUUGUUUUUUUCCUCUCUUUUUAGGGCUAAAUUUUAAUGUUUUGAUUCAUGAUUGUUUGAAACUCUUUCUUUAGUUAAAUAUUUAUAUGCUAUUUGAUUAAUAAGCAAUAAAUCAACCCUCACAAAAUUUUAAUUUUUUGUUUCAUAGUCACAAGCCAACUAAAAUUGUUUCUAUAAUCCUUAAUUAAUUGAUUAAUUAAAUUUCAAAAUUUACAGAUUUAAGCUCUCAACUAGAUAGCUUGUGCAUUUAUUAAUUCUUGAAAUAAAGACAAAAUUUGCACACAAAAUAUCUAUUACCCAAUUAGAAUUGAAGAAGAAUGUCCUUGAUUUUUUAUUUUGUUAAGUUUAGAUGCAUUUGGUGCAUGAAAUUAAUAGUGAGUAUGAUUUCUAUGAAUUUGAAUUUAGAUAUUUCAUUAUUUAUGAUUGAGAUAAUUAAAAUUUCUGCUCAACUUUAAUUUCAAUUAUUUCUUGGAUAAUGUGAGUUUUUAUCUAUUUAAAAACCAAAAUAACAUGAAAGAUAUAUUUGGAACUUUCUUUUUCUCUUUUCCUUUUUGCAUUCCUUUUAGAAACUAAAAAGAAGUAUAUUUUUAUAGUUAUUUAGGUCCAUAAUAUAAAAAGCACAAUAAUUAAACUUAGAAUUCAUUCUUAAAAAUAUUUAAUUGUAGUUAGAUAUCUAAUUUCUCAAUUUGAGUUUUCUUUUUGUUAACAUGGUUUGUUUUUUCUAUCAUAGGUUUGAGAUAGAGGUAUUGGCAAUUUUGGGGUCUUGUUAGAGGGUAGUGCUUGAAGAUUAAUGCUAGAAAUAUGAUAUCUAUAAAUUGCAUAUAUGUUUGAUGUAUUCUUGUAAUUGAAAGUACCUUAUAAUUUGAAAAUGGCUAUUUUGAUACAUGUUACUUACUUUUCUAUUAAUGUUGUGUCUAUCCUAUUAGGUAUCUAAGAAAUAUAGCAAAAGAAGAAGAAAAUGAUGGAGAAUUAGAGACCCUCUUACAAGAUAGUAUUGUACUUUUUAAUUUAAUUUUGUAUAUUAUCUUAAUUGAAUGUUUGUAAUUAAUUUUUUUUUAUAUAUAUAGUAACUAGAGAGUAGCUAGAAAAAUAUUUAUUUCAUUGUGUUUUUAAUAUUCAAAUGUAUAUAUAAUAAUUUUUUCCCUUGAGCAAUAGUUUAUUUGUAUGGUUUUAGGACUUAAUUAUUAUUAUAAUAAUUAAAUAGUACUAAAUAUGGUAAUAUGUUCAUUUUCCAUUAAAAACUAAAAAUUAUAAUAAAAUAAUAUUAAAUUUUUCAUGGGCAACCUUGACAAAUGGCUAAUGCCCAACAUUGACAUCUGCAAUAGCUAGAAACCUUGACAUAUUAUACUUAUCCUUAACAUUUGUUGCAGCAAACUUGACAGAAAAGCAAGUUAACAUUAACAUAAGAUCAAAGAAUCUUGACAUAUGUUGAAUCCAACCGUGACAAAAGUGAAAGAAACAUUGACAUAUGUCAUACUAACAAAGAUUCCAUCAUUAGUAGAAAUUGAAACAAUGUAAAUGUCAAGGUAGAUUUAAACUUUUCUUGACACUGGCAUAGAUGACAUAUAUGAAUAGUAACAUACCUUGAUAGAUAUACCCUAUCUUGAUGGUGAAAAACUAUCAAUGAAAGCCUUUUUUCUUGUAGUGAGUAGUCUCCCAUGGAAUUGAAUAAGGUAGUGUCAAAUCACGCCUUUCAGUGUGCCUUUGGCUAAAAUGACUCAACUGGGUGCUUGCCCUAUGCCCUAGAGGUUGUAGGCUCUUGCUUGGGGGCCAUAGAGGACAAAGACUGAGCAAGAUGAAGAGAUAGAACUGGUAAAGGCUUACACUUGAAACCCAAACGAAUAGAAAUGGAGAUGAAUCUAUGUUGGAGUUGACUGUAACACACCUAAGGAAGAGAAGACCAUUGAAAAUGGAAACCCUAGCCUUCAAAGUCUUCAAAACUCUCCCUUUAGUUUUCUCUAGCAUUGUGCCCACAUUCCUUUAGCUUUCUCCGGCAUUGUCCCUAGAUCCCCUAGUCCAUUCGGUCAACAUGACUCAUUUCCCUUAGCCUUCUUUAUUGUUGUGUGGGGACAAAAUUGUUGGUCAUUUGAAUUCUUCACUAAAGUUCAUUUCACUCAAUUCAUUGCUUGCACUUCGCACUCGCGUUUCACUUGUUCAUUCACUCUACUGAAGAGGGGCAUAUUAGUAGACCCUCAAUUUUGUCCUUCGACACUUGCAUUUAUCUUAAGGGUGUCACAUGCUCCCAAUUUUUUCCUUAUGGCACCACCAUGACCCUCUUUUAGGCUUGAUCGGUUUUGGAGCCUUAUGUAAGUUCAUAUGCGGUCCAAUGUAGUGGAAUUUGAAGUUCAUUUUGGAGUUCCGUCAUGGCCAAUUCCCUAGUUGUUCACAUCAUGUUAAAGGAAGGAAGUGGGGUCUCCCCAAAACUUCAGUUCAGUUGGAGUUCAUUGGAGUAGGUUUGAAUAUGGGGCACUCUACCUUGUUUUUAGUCAUAUCUCUCAUCCAAACUUGGAAUCGAGUACCAUUUUUUUAAUGGACUCCUUGUUCUUCAAGGAAUAUUUUUCAAAAUUUCAAUUUUUUUUCUUAACCGGCUCGACCAAUCCCCAACUCUUCAGUUCGGUUGGAGUUCAUAGAAACAGGUUCGAAUAUGGGCACUCCACCUUGUUUUUAGUCAUAUCUCCCUCAUCCGAACUCGGAAUCGUGCACCGUUUUUUUUAUGGUCUCCUUGUUCUUCAAGAAAUAUUCUAUCAAAAUUUCAAUUUUUUUCUCAACCGGCUUGACCAAUCCCCAAUGCUUCAGUUCAGUUGGAGUUUAUAGGAGCAAGUUCGAAUACGGGGCACUUCACCUCAUUUUUAGUCAUAUCUCCCUCAUCCGAACUCGGAAUCGUGCAUCAUUUUUUUUAUGGACUUCUUGUUCUUCAAGGAAUAUUUUGUUAAAAUUUCAAAUUUUUUCUCAACCGGCGUGACCAAUCCCUAAAGCUUCGGUUCAGUUGGAGUUCAUAGGAGCAGGUUCGAAUAUGGAGCACUUGGGAUUGUUUCGAUCAUAUCUCCCUCAUCCGAACUCGGAAUCGUGUACCAUUUUUUUUAUGGACUCCUUGUUCUUCAAGGAAUAUUCUAUCAAAAUUUCAAUUUUUUUCUCAACCGGCUCGACCGGUCCCCAAAUUUUCAGUACAGCCAGAGUUCAUUGGAGCAUGUCUGAAUUCAGAGCAGUUAGGCUUGUUUCGAUCAUAUCCCCCUCAUCUGAACUCGGAAUUGCGUACCAUUUUUUUUUUCUAUGGACUUCUUAUUCUUCAAGGAAUAUUCUGCCAAAAUUUAAAAAAUUUUCUUAGCCGGCUCGUUGGGCCAGCUUGUAUAGAGCACUGAUUUUGGUGAUUUUGAAGCCCAAAUCCUACAUGGCUCGGGCCUAUAAGCUCCAGAUCGAUUUUGGGCAAUAUUUUGGGUCCAUUUUGGGGCUUGGUUCGGGUUCCUUGCAGCCCACCAUGAAUCCAUAUGGAUUCUUGGUGGUGAAGCAAGGGAGUAAAUGUGGAAAGAGUAGCUCACCUCGUGACAAAGAGUAGCUCACCUCAUGACUGUGGGGAGUGUUUAUGGAGCUGGUUUUCGAGGUUGAUGGGGACACGUUCCAGAGCUGAAGGAGGGAAAAACGAAGGUGGAAAUGGGAGGAGCAGGGGUUCUGGUAUAAAAAGCCAGAAUGGAAAGAGAGAAAGACCUUUUUCCUUUACAUUUUUUCUAGGGGGGAAACUUUGUCCAAGACUGGUGAGUGAAAAAAACAGAGUGUGGAGAAGGUUUUGAGCAUCUGAGAAAUUUCUGGGUGCACGUGAAGUGAGCAAAGAGAGAAGGGAGUAAGGAGCUCUUGAUCGGUGAGGACGUCUAGGAGUCUUUUCAGGCAUGGUCUUUUGGAUUGUUGUUUUUCUCCCUGCUUGUUUUUUUUUUAAUAGACACUUUAUUGAUGCUCUUGGUAUGUAACUAUUGCAUGGUUUCAUUUUUUAUGUUUUCUAUGGAUGUCUUAUUUUGGGUUGGUUCUGAUCGGGAAUAGGGGGGAAGAGUGACCUACUUUUGAUGUGUGAGUAAUAGGGUCACUGCCUUCAUUAGUUUUGGUUUUGGUUGAAGGUCAUUGUGACCUCCUGAUUGUUAAGGGAAGGAUUCUUGUGGCCUUGUAGCUUUGGAUUGAGGAAGUUCUUAGAUGCUAGAUUCAGGUGGCUAUGUUGGUAUGGGCGUUUCUACCACUUGGUUUUUCUUGAAACCUCCUUUGCUUGGUAUUUAGAAAGAGUUUCCAUGACCUUCUUUGUUUUUUUAAUUUGGGGCUACCCAUCAGUAAUCUGGACUUAAACCCUAGGUCUUGUGGCUACAUGUAUAGGUUCCAUGUGGCUGAAAUUUCGAUUUGCUUCUUGGUGAUUCUAGUAGUUGCAUUGGGGGGGCUUUAGGUGGCUAAAUUUCAGCUAGAUUCAUAGGCUAUAGGAGGCUGAAAUUUCAGUUUGUUCCAUGGGAUUUAAGUAGCUAUAUGUGGGAGGCUUCAGGUGAAUGAAAUUUCAAUUUGGUUUCAAGGGAUUUAUGUGGCCGCAUGUGGAUGUCCGUGUGGCCGAAUUUCCAGUUGGGUUUCUUGAGUUCAGGGGGGCUGCAUUGUUGGUUGAUUAAUGAGCUCUGUGGCCUUAGUUUUAUUAAGGUUGGGUGGCUCGGGUUUGGCCUUCUAUAAGGAACUCGUUGCAUUGUUUCGGCCGGUUCUCUCUCAUCCUAGCUUGGAAUUGAGUGCUAUUUUUUUUUUAUUAUUCCUUAUUCUUCGAGGAAUCUUCUAGUAAAGUUUCAGAAUUUUUCUCAAUCGGUUGAACCAGUUGGGAGCCAGUUCAAUAGGUUCUACUAGGCAGCCCCGUUUUGUAAACACAUUGCAUUGUUUCGACCGGUUCUCCCUCAUCUGGGCUCGGAAUUGAGUGCCAUUUUUUUUAGAUUCCUUAUUCUUCGAGGAAUAUUCUAGUAAAGUUUUAUAAUUUUUCUCAAUCGGUUGGAUUGGUAGGGAACCAGUUCAACAGGUUCUACUAGGCAACCUUGUUUUAUAAACACAUUACAUUGUUUCAGCCGGUUCUCCCUCAUCCGGGCUCAGAAUUGAGAACCAUUUUUUUUGUUGGAUUCCUUAUUCUUCAAGGAAUCUUUUGGUAAAUGUUUAGAAUUUUUUUCAAUCAUUUGUACAAGUUGGGAACCAGUUCAAUAGGUUAUACUAGGCAACCCCAGUUUUAACAUGUUUUGACCCCCAUUUUUGUUGUGGCUUGAGCCCUUAGGCUCCAAGGCACUUGUGAGCCACCUUUAGGGUCAAAGUUUAGUUUGGUUAGAUUUAAUGUGAGCCCAAUUCAUGGAUGGGAAGAAUGUGGAUUAAGUGAGCAUGGUUUGGUUUGAUGGAAUUUAGAGGAAUGUGUGCAAAAGAAAUCGAACUAUUUAUUUCAUUUCGACCCGCUUCCAUCCCUUUUGGGUAUGAGAUUUGAUGCUUGAUUGAGAGUGCAUGUCGUAUGCUUGUAUUACUUGCCUUACCUUUUUCUUGCAGCGCAUGGAUGGGGACCACAAGUAUGCACUUCAGCUUUGGAUAAUGAAAUUCACAUGAAUGCUUGGUGCAUGAUUGCUAUGUAUAUUUGUUGCGCAUUUGAGCUCAUUGACUGACCUCUUAUGCAGCGCUUGUUUAGAGACCUCAGGUAUGCACUCUGAUUUUGACUUGUUGAGUGUAUGUGUAUGCUAAAUACUAGACAAGUCUAUGUGAUUCAUGUCAUUUGUUUAACCCAAGGUUUGUUUGAUCUUUGACCCAUAUGCUCCUAUAUACCCAGUUCAGUAGUAAAGACUGAGUUAUGGGCCUAGAGGGGUGCUACCUCGCAUGAGGUACCUUCCCGAUAGGUAACCUGAUCCCCGGACCCAGAAUCUAGUUUUCGCAUACCGUUUUUUCCUGACUAGAGUCAUGUUGGGGUUUUUGUUCUUACUUAAAUUUUCCCCAUUUAAAAAUAAAAAUAAAAAGUAAGUGGCGACUCCAAACAAAACCGUUCCUCGUUGGGACGAAUAUUUCAAAACACGAAAACCAGUUUUCCCUUUCACCUUUAAAAUAACAAGUCGCGUCAGUCGGUGGAUCGGGUGAGGGUCCACAACCCUACAUUUUAUGAAGAGCUUAAGGUUGUUGAUGAUAUGAACAACUCGAGGUCGUGAGCUCAGACCUCUAGAUGUUAUGAAAAGCUCAGGGUUAUGGAUGAUACGAAUGAAUUUGGGUUGUGAGCUAAAGGCUCUAGAUGCUAUGAAAAGCUCAUGGCUAUGGAUGAUAUGAAUGACUCUAGGUCGUGAGAUCAAGGCUCUAGAUGCUAUGAACAACUUAGGGUUGUGGAUGAUGUGCACGACUCGGGGUCCCAUCAAUUAAGGGCUUUGAAUGUUACAAACAAGUCAAUCUUGUGGAUGACAUAAAUGUCUCCGAGUCAUGAGCUUGGGGCUCUUUAUGCUAUGAACAACUCAGAGUUGUGGACGACAUGAUUGACUCAAGGUCGUUAGCUCAAGGCUCUAGAUACUAUGAAAAGCUUAGGGUUAUGGAUGAUAUGAACGACUUCGGGUCCUGAGCUUAAGGCUCUAGAUGCUAUGAACAGCUUAGGGUCGUGGAUGACAUGCACAACUCAAGGUCAUGAGCAUAGGCCUUGGGAUUUUAUUAAGAGUUUAGGGUUGUGGAUGACAUGAACAACUCUGAGUUGUUAGCGCAUGACUUUAGAUGCUAUGAAAAAUUGAGGGCUAUGGAUGAUAUGAAUGACUUUAGGUCGUGAGAUCAAGGUUUUAGAUGAUAUGAAUAGCUCAAGGUUGUGGAUGAUAUGGAUGACUCAGGGUCCCAUCAAUUGAGAGUUGAUUUGUCCCCAAUUGGUGUUCUACUGGAUUCAGUCCUUAGAUGGGAGUUAUCAACAAAAUUUAUAAACCUAAUUCACCAUAUACUAGGGUAGCAUAGCAUAGUGGUUCUAGGAUCGUCCAUAGGGAUGAGUUUUCAUUUCACACGUGAUAUUAGUUAUAACACUGAAAUUGUGGUUUUUCUUUUAUGAGUUAGCUUUAAGAGAAAACAUAAAGUUGGUUGAAAAGGUUUGGUUUUAAGCUAACCAAAAAUAGUAACUAAGAUUAAUUACAAAGAAAAGGUUUCUUAGAGUUUUAGGUCACUAGGUUCAGGUUCCUUAUACAAAAGGGGGGAUUUCGGAUCCUUUCCUCACAUUGGGGAUUUAACCUAUAGUUAUUUCCUGAACCGGUGUAUUACAUUUGCUUCCUAUUAAUGGUUUCAAACACUAAAACCCUCUCAUUGAAUCAUCUUGCAAUGGUUCAUACCUCUCACCUAGUAUUGGCCAUUCAAGGUGAUCCUUAACCUUGGAUUACCCUUUAAAAGCUCGCAAGAGAUAACUAAUGGAUGUCUCCAGGGAGUCCGAAAGCUUACCAAGUGUUGGCUAUUCUAGGUAAUCCUACCUUUAAACCACCUCCCAGAGGCUCGCAAGAGACAACUAAUGGAUCUCAAUGGAUGGAGUCUGAAAAGAUUACCAAGUGUUGGCCCAAGUGAUUUUAAGGGAUUUUAAGUUAACUAAAAAAAUAAAAAUCAUUAACGGGUCACAACUUCUCUUCAUUUAAAACUAAAACAAGGAAAACUCCCACUUUUGUAUCCAGAUCCCUUACCUAGCUUCCUUCAGUCUAAGAAACGAAAAGCCUAGCCACUCAUCCUCUGAGACCUCAGAGGAUGUUUGGUUAGAAAGAAAAUAAAUAUAAAAUGAGUAGGUAAUGCAGAGCAAAGCUCUAUGUAUUUCUUACUAAGAAGAAUGUACAAGGGAUCCUCAAGAAUUUCUUCCGAGAUUUCGAGAUAUAUACAGAAGAUAUUUUCUAAGAAAUAUCGAGAGAGAUAUUUUUAACCUCCCUUUAGAUAUCCUAAAUAUCUAGAAAAUAUCUUUAGUUGAUUACAAGGAGAAAAUAGGUAAUUACACAAAAUAUCUCGAGAUAAAAAUCUAACUGAGUCGGUGCAAAAAUAUCUAAAGAUUACAGGAAGAUUUCGUAAGGCUUGCGAAAAUUUCAUAAGGGGUUGCAAAAUUGAUUUUCCUCGGCUUUGGUUUCGCAAGGCUUGCGAAAUUUCUAUUGGCUUACGAAAAUUUCGCAAGGGGUUGCGAAAUUCAUUCUCAGUUUCGCAAGGCAUGCGAAAUUCCUUCUUGGGCAAUUCGCAAGGGGUUGCGAAUUUGUUGAAUGUUAGAUUCCUUCUCUAGUUCUCUUCCUUGCAUACUUGAUUGAUUUUGCAAAGACUUUGAAGCUCUCUUAAAACUUGGAUUCUUCAUGUAAUUUAGCUUCAAUCUUGCUUUGCCAUGGACUAUACCAAGUUCUCCCUAAUUCUUGGCUUGUUUUAAUGAUAAAAAAGCUAUCAAAAACACCAAAACAUGCCAAAAACUUAUUAGUAACACUUGCAAGGGUCCUUAAUGUGCCAAUUGAGUUAAAAGGUAAUAAAUACUACUUAAAAGUGUUUAAAAGAGUUUAUAAGAAUCUAUAAAAGAGCACUUUUUGAGUAGUAAUCAAGAUCUCUAAAUGCAAUAAACAACUCAAGCAUGUGGAUGACAUGAAUGACUCUAAGUAGUGAGCCCAAGGUUCCUAAUGCUAUGAAUCACUCAAGGUUGUGGUUGGCAUGAAUGACUCCGAGUUGUGAGCUUAGGGCUCAAAAUGCUAUUAACAAAUCGGGGCAAUAAAUUAUAUAAACGACUUUGGCCCGCUAGCUUAAGGCUCUAGAUAAUAUGCAUAACUUAGGGAUGUGGUUCAUAUGAACAACUGUGAGUCGUGAGAUGAAGGCACUAGAUGUUAUAAACAACUUAAGGUUGUGGAUGAUAAGUACGACUCGGGGUGGUGACCUUAGGUCUCUAGAUGAUAUGAAUAUCUCAAAGUUGUGGGUGACAUGAAUGACUCUAGGCCAUGAGCUCAGGGCUUUAGAUGAUAUAAACAAGUAAGGGCUUUGAUUUUAUGAACAACUCUAGGUCGUGAGCUCAAUGGUUUAACUACUAUGCAUAACUUAGGGUUGUGGAUGUUAUAAACAACUUUCGAUCAUGAGGUGAAGGCUCUAGAUGCUAUGAACAACUUUGGGCUAUGGAUGAUAUAAAUGAUUUGGGGUCCCAUGAGCUCAGGUCUCUAGAUGCUAUAAACAGCUUAGAGUUAUGGAUGACAUGAAUAACUAGGGGUCAUGAUUUCAUGGCUCUAGAUGCUAUGCACAACUCAUGGUUGUGGAUGACAUGAAUGACUUUAGGUCCUGAGCUAAGGGUUGUAAAUGCUAUGAAUAGCUUAGGGUUGUGGAUGAUAUGAACGACUUGAGGUUGUGAGCUUAGGGCUCUAGAUGCUAUGAAUAACUCAAGGUUGUGGAUGAUAUGAACGAAUCUAGGUCCCAUGAAGUUAGGGCUCUAGAUGAUAUAAGCAACUCAAGGCUAUGGAUGACAUCAAUGACUAGGGGUCAUGAGUUCAUGAAUCUAGAUGCUAUGCACAAAUCAUGGUUGUGGAUGACAUGGAUGACUCUGAGGCAUUAGCUAAGGGCACUAAAUGUUAUGAAUAGCUUAAGACUGUGAAUGAUAUGAAUAACUCAAGGUCAUGAGCUUAGGGCUCUAAAUGUUAUGAAUAGCUUAGGGUUGUAGACAAUAUAAAUGACUCUAGGUCAUGAGUUGAAGAAUCUAGAUGGUAUUAAUAGCUCAGGGCUAUGGAUGAUAUGAACGACUCGGGGUCUCGUGAGCUCAAGGUUGUAGGUGCUAUGAACAAUUGUUAGUUGUGGAUGAUAUGAAAAACUCUAGAUCAUGAGUUAAAGGAUCCACAUGGUAUGAACAACUCAGGGUUAUGGAUUAUAUGAAUGACUCAAGGUCCCAUAAACUUAAAGCUCUAGAUGUUAUGGACAACUUAAGGUUGUUAAUGACAUGAACACUCUAGGUUAUGAGCUUAAGGCUCUAAAUGCUAUAGUAGCUCAAGGCUAUGGAUGACAUGAACGACUCAGGGUUCCAUCAGUUGAGGGCUCUAGAUACUAUGAAUAGCUUAAGCCUGUGGAUGACAUGAAUGACUCUAGGUCGUGAACCCAAGGCUCUUAAUGCUAUGAAUAACUCAAGGUUAUGGAUGGCAUGAACCAUUUAAGGUCCUAAACUCAAGGCUCUAGAUGCUAUGAACAACUCAGGGCAGUGGAUGAUAUGAACGACUUUAGGUCAUGAGCUUAAGGGUUUAGACAUUAUGCACACCUCAAGGAUGUGGAUCAUAUGAACGAUAGUGGGUUGUGAGUUGAAGGCACUAGAUGUAUGAACAACUUAGGGUUGUGGAUGAUAUGAAUGACUCGGGGUGGUGAGCUCAGAGCUCUAGAUGGUAUGAACAACUCAGGGCUAUGAAUGACAUUAAUGAGUUUGGGUUGAGAGCUCAAGGAUUUAGAUGAUAUGAAUAGCUCAGAGCUAUGGAUGACAUGAAUGACUCUAGGUUGUGAACUCAGGGCUUCAGAUGCUAUGAACACCUCAAGGUUGUGGAUGACAUGAACGACUUCAAGUCAUGAGCACAGGAUUCCAGAUGCUAUGAAUUAGUUAGGGCUCUCAAUGAUAUGAAUAGCUCAGGGUUGUGGAUAAUAUGAAUGACUCUUGGUAAUGAGCUGAAGGCUCUAUAUGGCAUAAAUAGAUUUGGGCUAUGGAUGAUAUGAACAACUCGGGGAGGUGAGCUUAGGGCUUUAAAUGGUCUAAAUAACCGAAGACUGUGGAUGAUGUGAAUGAGUUUAGGUCGUGAGCUUGGUGCUCUAGAUGAUAUAAACAGCUCAGAGCUGUGGAUGACAUGAACGACUCUAGCUUGUGACCCGAGGGCUUUGGAUGCUAUGCAUAACUCAUGGUUAUGGAUGACAUGAACGACUUUGGGUUGUGAGCUGAGAGCUCUAAAUGCUAUGAAUAGCUUAGCGUUGUGGACAAUAUGAACAAAUCUAGGUCUUAUAAGCUCAUGGCUUUAGCUGCUAUGAAUAGCUAAGGGUUAUGGAUAAUAUGAACAAGACUGGGAUGUGAGCUCAAUCCUCUUGUUGCUAUGAACAACUCAGAGUUGUGGAUGAUAUGAACAACUCUAGGUCAUGAGCUAAAGGAUCUAGAUGGUAUGAAUAGCUCAAGGCCGUGGAUGAUAUGAAUGACUUAAUGACCCGUAAACUCAAGGCUCUAGAGGUCAUUUACAACUCAAGGUUGUUGAUGACAUGAAUGACUCUAGGUCGUGAGCUUAGGGCUCUAGAAGCUAUGAACAACCUAGGGUAAUGGAUCAUAUGAAUGAUUCUAGGUCUCAUGAGCUGAGGGCUCUGGAUGCUAUGAAUAACUCAGGGUUGUGGAUGAUAUGAACAACUUUGGGUCAUGAGCUCAAUUCUCUAGAUGCUAUGAAGAUAUGAAUGACUCUGGGUCGUGAGCUUUGGGUUCUAGAUGAACAAAUCAAGGUUGUGGAUGACAUGAUUGACUUUAGAUCAUUAGCCGAGAGCUCUAGAUGUUAUGCACAUCUCAUGGCUGUGGAUGACAUGAACGACUUUGGGUCAUGAGCUGAAGGCUCUAGAUGCUAUGAACUACUCAAAGCUAUUGAUGAUAUGAAUGACUCGGGGUCGUUACCCUAGGGCUCUAGAUUGUAUGAACAUCUCAGGAUUGUGGACGACAUGAACAACUAUUGGGUUGUGAGGUUAGGGCUUUAGAUGCUAUAAUAGCUCAAGGUUGUGGAUGAGAUGGACGACUAUAGGUUAUGAGCUUAGGGCUUUAGAUGCUAAUAAUAGCUUAAGGUUGUGAAUUACAUGAAUGACUCUAGGUUGUUAGCUCAGGUCUCUAGAUGCUAUGAACAAGUUAAGGUUGUGGGUGACAUCAACAACUUCGGGUUAUGAGCAUGGGUCUAUAGAUGCUAUGCACGGGUCAUGGCUCUCGAUGAUAUGAAUGAUUAUAGGUUAUGAGCAUAAUGCUCUAGAUGUUAUGAAACGCUCAAGGUUGUAGAGGAUAUGAAUGACUCUUGGUCAUGAGUUGAAGACUCAAGAUUCUAUGAACACCUCUAGGUUGUAGAUAAUAUGAAUGACAUGGGGUCCCGUGAGCUCAGGGCCUUAGAUGUUAUGAACAUCUCAAAGCUAUGGAUGACAUGAAUGACUCUAAGUCAUGAGCUCAGGGCUUUAGAUGUUAUGAACAAUUGAAGGUUAUGAUGGCAUGAAUGACUUCAGGUUGUUAGUACUAGGCUCUUGAUGCUAUGUUCAACUCAAGGUUGUGGAUGAUAUGAACGACUCUUGGUCAUGAGAUCAAGGCCCUAGAUAUUAUGAACAACUCAGAGCUAUAGAUGAUAUGAACAACUCAGGCUCCUAAUGGCUGAGGGCUCUUGAUGUUAUGAACUCAAGCUUGUGGAUGACACGAAUGGCUACGAGUAAUGAGCCUAGGGCUCCUAAUGCUAUGAAUAGCUCAAGGUUAUGGACGACAUUAACAAUUCCGAGUUGUGACCUUAGGGCUCUAGAUGCUACCAACAACUCAUGGUUGUGGAUGAUAUGAACAACUUUGGGUCAUGAGCUCAAGGCUCUAGAUGUUAUGCACAAGUCAGACAUGUGGAUCGUAUAAAUGACUAUGGGUCAUGAGCUGAAGGCAUUAGAUGUUAUGAAUAUCUUAGGGAUGUGGAUGAUAUGAAUAACUUGAGGUAGUGAGCUAAAGGUUAUUGAUGGUAUGAACAACUUAAGGUUAUGGAUGGCAUGAACAACUCCGGGUUGUGAGCUCAAUCCUCUAAAUGUUGUGAAUAGCUAAGGGUUGUGGAUGAUAUGAACGACUCUAGGUUGUGAGCUCUGAGCUUUAUAUGUUAUGAACAACUUAGGGCAUGGAUGAAAUGAAUGACUCUAGGUCGUGAGAUGAGGGCUCUAGAUGCUAUGCAUAGUUCAUGGUGGUGGAUGACUUGAAUGACUCUAGGCCGUGAGCUGAAGACUCUAGAUGCUAUGAAUAACUGAGGGUUGUGAAUGAUAUGAACAACUCGCGAUCUAGUGAGUUUAAGGCUCUAAAUGCUAUGAACAGUUUACGGUGGUGGAUGACAUGAACAACUCUAAGUCGUGAGCUUAAGGCUCUAAAUGCUAUGAACAACUUAGGGCUCUAUGUCCUAUGAAUAGCUCAAGGUUGUAGAUGAUAUGAAUGACUCGAGGUCAUGGGGUGUGGGCUUUAGCUAAUAAUAACUUAGGGCUAUGGAUGACAUGAAUGAUGUCACAUCAUUAGUUGAGGGCUUUAGAUGCUAUGAACAAAUCAAGGAUGUGGUUGAGAUGAACAAUUUUGGGUUAUGAGUGUAGGGCUCUAAAUGCUAUGAACAUGUCAGGGCUUUGGAUCAUAUGAACAACUAUAGAUUUUGAGCUCAAUACACUAGAUGCUAUGAAUAGCUUAGGGUUGUGGAUGAUAUGAACAACUCUAGGUCAUGAGCUGAAGGCUUUAAAUGCUAUGAACAAAUCUAGGCUAUAGAUAAUAUGAAUGACUCAAGGCCCCUUGAGCUUUAAGCCCUAGAUGCUAUGAACAUCUUAUUGCUAUGAAUGAUAUGAACGACUUGAGGUCGUGAGCUAAGGGCUUUAGAUGGUAUGAACAACUCAGGGCUAAGGAUGAUGUGAACGACUACGGGUUGUGAGCUUAGGGCUCUAGAUGCUAGGAACAACUGAGGGCUGUGGAUGACAUGAAAAGCUCUGGGUCGUAAGCUUAGGGCUCUAGAUGCUAUAAAUAGCUUAGGAUUGUGGAUGAUAUGAAUGACUCGAGGUUGUUAGCUUAGGGUUUUAGAUGCUAUGAACGACUCAAGGUUGUGGAUGAUAUGAACAACUCUAAGCCAUGAGCUUAAAGCUCUAGAUGCCAUGAGAAGCUCAGGUCUAUAGAUUAUAUGACUGACUCUUGGUCUUGAGAUCAAGGCUCUAGAUGCUAUGAACAACUUUAAAUGAUAUGAACAACUUCAGUCCCUUAGGUGAUGGCUCUAGAUGCUAUGAAUAGAUCAAGUUUGUGGAUGACAUAAAUGACCCCAGGUCAUGAGCUACAAACUCUAAAUGCUAUGAACAACUUAGGGAUAUGGAUGAUAUGAACACCUCGAGGUUAGGAGCUCAAGGCUUUGGAUGUUAUGAACAACUCAAGAUUGGGGAUAAUACAAACAAGUUUGGGUCUCGUGAUCUCAAAGUUCGAGAUGCUAUGAACAACUCAAGUGAUAUGAAUGACUCUGGGUCGUGAGCUCAAGGCUCUUGAUGCUAUGAACAACUUAGGGAUGUGAAUGAUGUGAACAACUUUGUGUCAAGAGCGCAACUCUCUAAAUGCUAUGAAUAACUCAAGGUUGGAGAUGAUAAGAACAACUCUAGGUAGUGAGCUCAGGGAUCUAGAUGCUAUGAAUAGCUCAAGGAUGUGAAUGAUAUGAACAACUCGAGGUCUCGUGAGAUUAGGAAUCUAAAUGCUAUGAAUAGCUUGGGGUUAUGGAUGAUAUGAAUGGCUCUAAGUCGUGAGCUUAUGGUUCUAAAUGCUAUGAACAACUCAAGGCUAUUGAUGAUAUGAAUGACUUGGGGUCAUGAUCUCUGGGUUCUAGAUGGUAUGAAUAGCUUAGGGUUAUGGAUGACAUGAACGACUUCAGGUCAUGAGCUAAGGGAUCUAAAUGUUAUGAACCACUCAAUGUUGUCAAUGAUAUGAAUGACUUGAGGUCAUGAGCUUAGGGCUUUAGAUGCUAUGAGCAGUUGAGGGUUGUGAAUGAUAUGCACAACUCUGAGUCCCAUGAACUCCAAGCUCUACAUGCUAUGAACAAAUCAAGGUUUUUAGUGAUAUGAACGACUCUAGGGCAUGAGCUUAAGGCUCUAGAUUCUAUGAACAACUUAGAGUUAUAAAUGAUAUAAAUAACUCAAGGUCGUAAGCUCAGGGCUCUAUAUGGUAUGAACAACUCAGAAAUGUAAAUGACAUGAACAACUAUAGGUUGUGAGCUUAGGAUUUAGAUGCUAUGAACAACUCAAGACUAUUAAUUAAAUGAAUGAAUUUGGGUCGUGAGCCUAAGGCUCUAGAUGUUAUGAACAGGUUAGGGCUUUGGAUUAAAUAAACAACUCGAGGUCCCGUAAAUUGAAGGUCCUCAAUAUUAUGAAUAGCUCAGGAUUGUGGAUGACAUGGAUGACUCUAGCUCGUGAGCUCAUGGCUCUAGAUGCUAUGAACAACUCAGGACUGAGGAUGAUAUGAACAACUCAUGGUCAUGAGCUUAAGGCUUUAGAUGGUAUGAAUGGCUCAAGGUUGUGGAUAACAUGAAAGAUUGUGGGUUGUGAGCUCAGGAUCUAGAUGCUACGAAUAGCUUAGGGUUGUGGAUGACAUGAACAACUCUAGGUCUCGAGUGUAGGGCUCUAGAUGCCAUAAACAAGUCAAGGCUCUGAAUGAAGUGAACAACUCUGGAACAUGAGCUCAAUGCUCUAGAUGCUAUGAAAAACUUAGGGUUGUGGAUGAUAUGGCCGACUUUGGGACAUGAGCUAAAGGCUCUUUAUCCUUUGAAAAACUCUUGUCUAUCAAUAAUAUGAAUGACUCAAGGUUCUGCGUGCUCAAGGCUUUAGAUGUUAUGAAUAACUCAGGGUCGUGAAUGACAGGAAUGACUUUGGGUCAUGAGCCUAGGGCUCUUAAUGCUAUGAAUGGCUCAAAUUUGUGGAUGACAUGAAAGACUCUGAGUCGAGAGCUAAGGACUCUAGAAGCUAUGCACAACUCAUGGAUGUGGAUGACAUGAAUGACUCUAGGCCAUAAGCUACGAGCUAUAAAUGCUAUGAAUAGCUCAAGGUUACAGAUGAAAUGAAUGACUUAAGGUCAUGAGCUUAGGGCUUUAGAUGUUAUGAACAACUUAAGGUUGGAGAUGAUAUGAACGAGUCCGAGUCUCGUGAGCUCAAGGCUCGAGAUGCUAUGUACAACUUAUUGGAAUUGAGCCUUGGAAAGCAUGACAUGAUGUAACAGAUUGAGAUUCAUUUAUAAAUUAUUUAUUUAUGUUUCUUGGUUUCCCUUAAAUAUAUCGUUUUUAUUAAUUGGUUAUUUGAGCAUACAUGCCCCACAUCACUUACAUUGUACAUGACUUGGGUGCAUUAGGAGUUACACAGAAGAUCCUAGUCAUAGGUUCCUUGUAGAGUGAUGAGUUGUCCACAAUUGGUUCAUGGAUUUUGGUUAUCCAUCUGAGACUAUAGUACACUACAUCCUAAUUGGAGGGAUAACUUGUCUUAGCUAUUGGGAUGGUUUUCCCAUGGUGAGUGUACUAGUGCAUGUGAUGCGCAUUAGACAAGACCUAUAGUGAAUCAUGACACAAGGCUAUCAAUUGUCAUGAUCCACUAAGCUACUAUACUGCAUGGAGUCUCAACCUUUAGAGGAUAUUGAGUUUGUGCCAAAGUUAACAGAAGGCUUUGACCUAUGGUAAGACUUUAAAGUGAUCAUAUAUCCCUAUGGAUUGGGUCACUGUUGAUGGAGGCUGGUGGCAAUAACUUUUCUCAAUAGAGGCACCAUGAUAUCUCAUGGAUUAAGACAAUGUGUCCCCUUGGGUGAUCCAAAGGACAUGUGAUCUAGAAGACUAUAGUCAUAUCAUUUUCUUUAAUGGAAAUUUGACAUAUGCUCCUUAGAGUUAGAGUAUGUCAAUUGAUCACAUAAUAAGUGGGAUAUAUAACUCAAGGAUUGAAGAGGUAAUCUUGAUAGGUGAUAACAUUACCUUGUUAGAUUACGGACACCAGUUUAGGGGGAGUUUGCAUAUAGUGGAUAGUAGGUCACAGACCCUAAGCUCGUCUCAUUGUUAUUUACAUACGAUAUUAGAGUGCAGUUGAUUCUCUUUAGUGGAAUGUUGAAUCAACUCCCAAAGUGGAUUCUAAGGGGGCCAGUACUCCUAUGGGUCACAAUGGUCCCCGCUUUGAGCUCAUAUACCAUGAUGGCAUGGUUUAUGAGAGUUCAAUUGACUUUCAAUUCAUUCUUAUGCAUAAGGGCAUUUUGGUAAUUGCAUAAGAUUGCACAAGGGAUAGUGAACAAGUUUUCUUGAUUGGGCUAAUUGAUUAAUUAGAUUGCAUGUGUGGUUAAUUAAUUAAUUAUGACCCAUUUUAGGUUAGAUUAAGUGACCUAAGCCUUGGUGGGCUCAAGUCACUUAAGCUUAGUAAGGGAACCCUAUAAAUACCCCCAUAGGGGCUAAGGCUUCCAUAACUUUUAAAGAGACUUUGUCUUCCACCUUUAGAGAAAAAGAGAGAUAGUGAGAGCCAAGAGAUCUUCCUUUCCAAAGUCUACACUUUGGUGUGUCAAGAUCAUGGUUCGAGUCAUCCAGCAAAAGAUCUUAGGUAUACGAGACUUCCAUAUUCAUUAUUUUUCAUCUUCUUCAAGAAAAAUUGAUUUGGGAACAUCCAAAUCAAAGGUAAAGUUCUCUAAUGGCUUUUCUCUUGAUCCUAAAAUUAUAAAAAUAUGUUUUUUUUUUUUUUUUUUUUGCUUCCAUUGCAUAGGAUCUAGAAACCUAGGGUAGUUUUGCAUGCACCUAUAUGAUCUAGGGUAAGGAAAUGGAGAAAUCUAGGGUUCCUAACACAGCUUAGGGUUGUGAAUGAUAUGAACGACUCUGGGUCGUAGCUCAAGGCUCUAGAUGCUAUGAACAACUCAGGGAUGUGAAUGAUAUGAAUGACUCAAUGUCGAUAGCUCAAUGCUCUAGAUGCAAUGAACAACUUAGGGAUGUGGAUGAUAUGAACGACUCUAGUUCAUGAGCUUAGGGCUCUAGAGCUAUGAAUAGCUCAAGGUUGUGGAUGAUACAAAUGACUCGAGGUCUCAUGAGCUCAGAGCUUUAGAUGCUAUGAACAACUAAGCGUUGUGGACGAUAUGAACUACUUCCAGUCGUUAGCUCAGGGCUCUAAAUGUUAUGAACAUCUCAGGGCUAUGGAUGAUAUGAAUGACUCGGGGUUAUGAGCUUUGAGCUCUAAAUGGUAUGAGUAGCUCAGGGUUGUGGACGAUAUGAACGAGUCCAAGUCAUUAACUAAGGGCUCUAAAUGAUAUGAACAACUCAAUGUUGUGUAUGAUAUGAGCUACUCAAGGUCAUGAGCUCAAGGCUCAAGAUUCUAUGAACUGUUAAGGGUUGUGCAUGAUAUGAACAACUCUAGGUCCCAUGAGCUUGAGGCUUUAGAUGCUUUGAAUGGCUCAAGGCUAUUGAUGAUAUGAACGACUCUGGGUUGUGAGCUCAAGGCCCUAGAUGCUAUGAACAACUCAGGGUUGUGGAUGACAUGAACGAAUCUAGGUCAUGAGUUGAAGGAUCUAUAUGAUAUGAAUUAAUCAGGACUAUAGAUGAUAUGAACGACUUGAGGUCCCGUAAAGUCAAGGCCCUAGAUGUUAUGAACAACUCGAGAUUGUAGAUGACAUGAACGACUUUAGGUCAUGAGCGCAGGGUUCUAGAUGCUAUAAAUAAGUCAAGGCUUUAGAUGCUAUGAACUAUUGGCAUCUUAGAUCUAAACAAUGGAUGCAAUAUCCAUUUUUUAAAAAUUGACCUUUUAGGGUUAAAAUACUAACCUUUAGGUUUGGAUGUUCGCAAACCUUAAAUUCUAAGUGUUGAAAAUGACCUUGAAGUUGUUGGAAAUCUCAUAAACAAUGGCAGUUGUGGGCUUGCCUAAGGCCCUCUUCCACUUAAUCUUUUUAGAUAAAUAAGAAUAUUUUAAAACAUUAGUAAUUACCUUGAUGAAUAAAUUAUCUACUUUGAGAAUUUCCAAAAAUAUUUAUUUCAUAAUUGGAAAUCUAGUGUUGCAAGAGAAUGUUCGUAUGCAAAAUUUAAAAUUUCUAUGAGAGUAUUUUAUCCAAAAAGGAAUUUUGAUAAAAUGUCUCCUCUCAAAGUUUAAAAAAUAUUUUCAUAAAAAAUUCUCCUUCUCCACACAAUUCCAAUUAAUAAAUAUUUUGUCUAGGAAAGAUUUUUAAAGAAAUUUAUUUCCAUCAAAUUACUAAAUAUCCUUUUUGGUAAUAACCUUUAAUAAUAAAUUAUUUCUAAUGAAAAUUUCCAUAAGAUAUUUAUUAUCCAAAUUGGAAACUUAGUGUAAUAAAGAAACUUCCAAUUUAUAAAAUUUUAAAAACUUGAGAACAUCUUAUCCAAUUAGGAAAGAUUUAAUUCUUCAAGGAUUUUAAAAAUAUUUAAAAAAAAUUAAAUCCUUAAGAAUAAAUUUAGAAAGGAAUUUUAGCUCUCAUACUCAAAAUUCCUCAUAAAUUUAAUUUCCUUAUUCCUACAUCAUUCCAAUUUAAUAGAUAUUCUUAAAUAUGAAAUCUAAUUUUCAUAAUAAUCUAUUCCAUUAAAAUUACCAAAAAUAAAACUUUUAGUAAUUCCCUUAAUGAUAAAUUAUCUAUCCUAAAAAUUUCCCAAAACAAAUAUUUGCUCUCCAAAUUAAAGAUUAGUGUAAUAAGAAAGUUCCAAAAACUUGAAAAAUAAAAACCAUAGAGCAUUUUAUCCAAAAGGGAAACUUUUAUUCUAUGAGGAUUCUUAUAAAAAAUUUAAAGAAAAUAAGUUAGAAUCCUUUGGAAUAAUUUACAAAAGGAAACUUUGCUCUCUAAUUUCACUACUACAAAAAAUCAAAUCAAUGGCGCUUGAUUUCGUGGCGCUUUUAAAAUAUGUCAUUGUUUAUCAAUAAAAGAGGUUAAUAUUGGCGCUUGGGGUAGGAGACAUGUUUUUGGUGUUUUGUGGAGAGAGAUAAUGGUGUUUCUAAUUAAAAUGGCGCAUUUUGAAGUGUCAUUGAAGCAAGUAUGGUAAACCUUGGCACUUAUAGGAAGCGCCAUCUUCUCUUUAUUAUAUAUUUAAUCCAUUUUUCCCUCAUUCAAUAAAAUACCCACAGGCCACAAACCCUACCCUCAACCUGAGAUCCACACAGAAACUCCCAUUGUAAGUUGUUUGAUGACUCAAUCGGCAAGCUACAACCAAUUUUUAGAAAGUACAAUAACAAAUGCAUCCAACUUGCACCAGCAUCAUCUUUAGACAUCAUCCUUGAGAAGCUUUAAAACCCUUGUUUCCUUGAAUCCCAUCCACCAAAAAUUAAUCUGGGAAGAAUCCGAUGAGUAACCAUCAAAAACUCCAUCAUUGGCCACCACCUUCCUUCGUUUCGAUCAUUGUGACCCUCUAUAACCCAAGGCAAUAACCAAGGACCAAAAUAGAGAGUUCACUGACAACAGCAAUAACCAUCAUUAUGGUUUGAUCCUCUUAAUUUCUAAUUUAUUCAAGUAAAUAUCUUUAUCCAAAAUGUUGGGAUCACUUCUAUUGAUUAUAGUGCAUUAUUAUUCUAAUAAGGGUUUUUGGAGUUGUGCAAGAUUGAGUUUUUGAAGUUGUGCAUGUUAGGGUUUUCAAAAUUGUGAGGGUUUGAGAAGAUUGUAGGUGGAGAGUUCUUAUUUAUGUUCUUUGGGUUACAAGGUUUGUCUCUCUCUCCUUUUGUUUUUUUUUUCUUUCUAUGUAAAGUUUUUGCUAUAUUGUUUAAUUAUCAUUGCUUCACCAACUCUGAUUUUGGUUUUCCAACCUCUUCCACAUUUUUUUUUCAUUCAUUGAAUUUUGUUUGAGGGUUUUCAACAUACGACUUCUGGUUUGUGGGUCUGCUUUGUUAAUUUCAUUUUUCCUAGGGUUAUCAUUGCUUCCGUUAAUGAAAUGCCAAUUUCUCCAUUAUAUUUGUUGCCCUAUGAAGUCUUCUUUUUGGCUAAAUUGAAGUUGCCCAGGAGACUUGUUUUGUAUUUUUGGAUUUCUUGCUCCAUUUGCUUUGUUUUAUCUCUCUCUCUCUCUCUCUCUCUCACACACACACACACACACACACACACACAUGUUUACUUCUUUGGUGUGAAUACCUCGUAUGACAAAUCAGUUGGUUAAAGUACCCUUUGUCAUUAAUAGCUUAGAGCCAUGAAGCAGGGACGAUUCAGACCUCACAUUCUGACUGAAAUUGAAUCAUGGUCCCAAAGCCUUCCAUGGGUCUGAAUAAGAUGAAUGAUCCAUACCUAGGAAGUUUCUGAGAACACAUUUUUUUAGUUGGUUGAUGAUAGAUGGGCCAACCGGCCACUGCCUUGGAUGGACACAAUUAUGUUGUUGCUAACAAGUCCACUACUUCUAGCUCUAGAUGAGACCAUCAACUCCCCCCAUUUUCAACCAACAAUGUCAAGAGAAGAAAGGAUAUUCCUCAUCAAGCCUUAUUUUGAGUGUUUAAGAUACAAUAGUAUGUUAUAUAAAUGGUGCUUGAAAUCCUGUAAAGUCUUUUAGGAUUAGUAAAUAAGAAAAAACACUCCCACAAAAAAAACACAUAUAAGUAAAUGAAUAAAAAAAAUGGAAGUAAAAUGUGAGACAAGAAUAAGUAGUCCUAGUUUCUUGUGUAAAUAAUAAGUAGUGUGUUUUAAUUCACUCUAGAUUAAGGAAAUGGUCUUUUUAUGUUUAUAAUAAAUGUUAUAUGGGGGUUUUACUUUCUAAAUUACAUUAUAUAUAUAUAUAUAUAUUAAGAGUCUAUUUUGCACAGAUCAUGGCAUGUAAGUAUGGUCUUUGGUUUAAGGGAAAAUUUGCAAUAAUGGAGUGGCUUUAUGGCAUACGUACAGAAAACAUACUUUUGAUCAUACAGGUAGUGUUUUUUAAGUUGUUAUAUUCUCUUGGUGUGUGACUUCUUAGAAACCCCAUACUUGCUUAGGCAUUUUCUAGAUAUCUUAAUAGUUUAGAAUCUAGAUUAUCUCAUAAUUAGCAUCUCAAUCAUUGCUUGCUUUAAUAUUAUUACAUGCAAAGUCUUGAACUAUUAAUGUCUCAUCAUUAUCCACUUGAUGUCUCAUUCAUCAAAGAACACGGAAUCAUUGUUUUUUUUAACUCAAGUCUCAUGAGUAGCUCUUCCUUCAACAUCUCAUUGAAAUCUAUAGUUGAACACUAAAACCAACAACAAUUCUCAACAAAUUGAGAAUUUGGAAAGAAAAAAAAAAUUAAUUGAUUUAGUAAGUUGAUUUUCCUCAUUUCUCUCUCACUUACUCUCUAGCUGAAAAGGUGACACAUUAUUUAUUUAUUUAUUCUCUCUUAAUCAUAUGGAGUUUACAUGGAAUUUAAAUAGAUUUUACUAUCUCAACCAUCUCAAAAAUGAAACAAAUUCUUUUUCCAUUUUCUAAGAUAGUAUUAAACAUGACUUUGAAUGUCAAAUUACAAUUUGAUGAAUUGUAAAACACAUGAAUCAUGAUGAAACAACACUCUUUCAACAUAAAUGCAGGAAUCAAAUUUCAUUGAAUAUAUUUCUAACCUAAGCUUUUAAUUUCAUUCAUUAUAAUCAAGACCCUCUGUUUUUCAUUAUUUGUUGAUUUAUUUAUUUAUUUCCACUCUAUUUAGCAUAGCUAGUAAUAUCAACUCAGAUCACCUCUCUUAUCUUGUGCCUAGUUGGUGCUGCCUUUUAGCACUCUAUAUAUCAAUUUCUAUAACUUGACAUCAUUACAAGAAAAAACUUAAUUUGAACAUUAUUUUAUUUAAGCCUUUUCUUCAAUAUCUUUGUGUAUUUGAUUAUUCAUAUUAAGUUGUUAUAUUGUCAAUCAAAAAAUAGAAACCAAAAUAUGUUAAUCAAGAACUUAUGAACUUGUUUGCACUUUCUAAAAGUUCUACACUAAAAAUAUAAAUGUAACUUGGUAUGUACUUUUAUAAGUUUAUAUUUUUCUAUAUGUAGAAAAUUUAGUUCAAAGAAGGAUGUUGAUUCAACUAUGACUUCCAUUAUCAUUUUGCUUUAUCUUAUUCUUGUUACUUCUCUAAUUCCAAUUGUGGUUUUCAAUUAGCCAAUUUAUUGAUAAUAUAUAAGAGGAAAUGAAAAACUACCCAUUGUACAAACUGUUAAAAUUUUCAUUUGUUAAUUGUUGAUCAAGAUAAUAAUUAGGUAAUAUUUCUCCUAUUCUUUUUAACUAAAUGAAGUUGUUAUCUGGUUGAAUUAUUAAAAGAACUUGUUGGAUGGUUGUAUAAAGAGUACCCAUGAUACUCAAUGAGGGAGAAAAGGGAUUGGGAAUCUUUUGAACUUUGUUCCUCUUAUCUUUUUUAUUUUAAUUUUUAGGAUUUAAUCCUACAAAAAUAUGUUAAUAAAAUGCAUGAUGUCUACUGUUAUCAUUAGUCUUAAACUUUUUUGUACUUGCUAAUUUGUUUAAUUAUGAAUUUUUAUUUUGAUAAAUAUAAUAUAGUACUUUUCCUUAUCAUUUUGUAUAUCUAUAUAUGGUUGUAGUUUUAUAUUUAUUUUCAAACCAAAAAAAAAAUAAAAAAUAAGAAAUGCUUCAAAAGAAGUAAGAACAAAGGAAGAUGUUACAACAUCAAACGGUUCCUCAACUCUUUAAGUGACCUUUUUGGCCUUCUUAAAUUUAGGAAAUGUUAUAUUUCUUUAUUAGGUAAGUUGGAAGUAGAUUUUUUAUGCUUAUAAGAACCCAACCUUAUUAAAAACAAUUUUGAAAAUUGAAGCUUCAAACCUUGGGGAUGGUUGGUUGGUUCUAAGUUGCAGUAGGAAUUUACAAGAUCUAUUUAUUGUUGUUUUGUUUACGAAAUACCAAGAAUUGUAUUUCUUAAGAAAUUUAUGCUAGACAUGUGUUUUCUUUUGUUCCUGUCAAUUAACUGGGAACUCAAUCUUUAAGGUAUAAAAUUAAUUUCUCAUUCUAAAUAAUUCAAUUACAUAUCAUAUCUCAUCUUCACUUAUUGUAAUACCAUGGCUAAAUUAAGUUUUGCUUGAUGUCAAAAUUAGUAUUACUUUAGAAAGAAGACAAGGGAUUGUGUGCAGGAACAUGAUUUUCUUUAUUGUUGAGAAGAGAUUAAUGACUGUUAAGUAGGGAGUUCAAGUUGGAAAGCAAACUUGAAUAACCUAAAUUAUUUGUUAUAAAGGUUAGAUUGGUAACCCUACUUCAUUCAUCCCUGCACUAACACUAUGGGCUACUUCAUUCAAUCUCCCCUUCAUUAUGGAUAAUUAAUCUAAAUUGGGGAAAAAGUCACUUUUUGGGUUUAUCCUGGCCUCAUUCUUCUAGUUUUUAGCUAGUUUUUCAUUCCAACUAUUUGUCUCAAUCAUGCUUAUCCAAAAACCUUUAGAUUCCAAACAUCAUUCUAGAAAGCUUAUCUCUCUUCUCAAAAUGGCAAACUAUAACUUUACAAAACAAAAAAUACUAAUAUAUCUAUGCUUAGAUCUCUACCUCUUUUCAAACUAUAAGUAUAUCAUGUUAGUAUCAUAAAACUUUUUAUAUUUUAUAACUCCAUCAAAGGCUUAUUGGAUUGUGGUUCUAACUGUUUAUCAUGUUUAUGUAUUUUCCUUGCGUAAACAAUGGAAAAUUGAUGUUCAUUAAUGCCUUAUAUUUCACUUUGAGAUGGUGGAUAGAUUAAAUGAAGGAACUAUAUUUGUAAAAAUUGCUCCACUUGAUUAUGAAGAACUUUACAAGGCAAUAUAUAGCGGAUUUUUUUUUUCAUUUUGUAAUUCUUGAUAUGUUACAGAAUUUACAAGGCAAUUAUUUGAAAUGGUCUCAUAAGUAUAUGUGAAUUUAUUCCUUAUUUUAAUUCUUGAUAUGGUUUUCAGGUUUGUUGUGAAGUCCAUCUUCAAGGCACAUGUAGAAGGCCAACUUAAGGUAAAUAU